AGUGAACGCUGGCGGCGUGCCUAAUACAUGCAAGUCGAACGGUGUGGCGCACGGGUGAGUGAUAUAUCGCUGAUCUGCCCCUUGCUGGAGGACAACAGUUUGAAAUGGCUGCUAAUACUCCAUAGCAAGGGAUGAGACUAUAGCGUGUCAGCUAGUCGGUGGGGUAACGGCCUACCGAGGCUAUGACGCGUAACUGGUCUGAGAGGAGGAUCAGUCACAUUGGACCGGAGACACGGUCCAAACUCCUACGGGAGGCAGCAGUAGGGAAUAUCGCGCAAUGGGGGAAACCCUGACGCAGCAACGCCGCGUGGAGGAUGACACGUUUCGGAGCGUAAACUACUUUUGUUAGGGAAGCGGUACCUAACGAAUAAGCACCGGCUAACUCCGUGCCAGCAGCCGCGGUAAUAC
rnacentral:rRNA from 1 species